rnacentral:rRNA from 1 species
UACAGAGGUCCCAAGCGUUGUUCGGAUUCACUGGGCGUAAAGGGUGCGCAGGUGGGCUGGCAAGUUCGAUGUGAAAGCCCCGGGCUUAACCCGGGAAUGGCAUUGAAAACUGUCGGUCUGGGAGGGUUGGGAGGGGGGACUGGAAUUCGUUGGUGUAGCAGUGAAAUGCGUAGAUAUCAAGAGGAACACCAGUGGCGAAGGCGAGUCCCUGGACAAUACCUGACACUGAGGCACGAAAGCCAAGGGAGCAAACAGG